ACGCACGCUGGCGGCGUGCUUAACACAUGCAAGUCGAACGGAAAGGCCCCUUUUGGGGUACUCGAGUGGCGAACGGGUGAGUAACACGUGAGUAACCUGCCCUUGACUUCGGGGUAACUUCAGGAAACUGGGGCUAAUACCGGAUAGGAAUCCUUGCUGCAUGGUGGGGGUUGGGAAGCUUCGGCGGUUUUGGAUGGACUCGCGGCUUAUCAGCUUGUUGGUGGGGUAGUGGCUUACCAAGGCUUUGACGGGUAGCCGGCCUGAGAGGGCGACCGGCCACAUUGGGACUGAGAUACGGCCCAGACUCCUACGGGAGGCAGCAGUGGGGAAUAUUGCACAAUGGGCGGAAGCCUGAUGCAGCAACGCCGCGUGCGGGAUGACGGCCUUCGGGUUGUAAACCGCUUUCAGCAGGGGCGAAGCUUGUGGUGACGGUACCUGCAGAAGAAGCACCGGCUAACUACGUG
rnacentral:rRNA from 1 species